CGGCGGAGGAGCGCCGCGCAGCCGGCAGAGCCUGCCUGCCUGUGCUGAGGUGCCUGGUCUGAGGCUGGGAACUGCACUGAGAGGGCAUGGGAGUUACGAGGGAAGGGUUCCCACCUCUUUAAUAAUUUUUCCUCCUCGGUGUAUGGUGCUGUUAUUGACCAUGUCCACGAUGGCCACUCCCAAGUUACAUCGGAUCCCGAAGGAAAUGCAGAAUCCCAGUCCACUCAUGAUGGCAAUGAUGUACCUCCGGGGUAGCCCGAAGCAGGACUCUGACCGACACAAGAAGGGAAAGUCAAGCCCUGCCGCCCCGCUGCUUGAACGCACAGCCACCUCGCGUAGCUGAAGUUCACAGCUCCCCCCGCCCCUCC
rnacentral:lncRNA from 1 species